rnacentral:lncRNA from 1 species
GUUGGUAAUGAAUGUUAAAUGCUUUUCAAGUUAAACAUAUUACUGCAAUUUCAAGGGAUAUUUUUUUCUUCUCAAUUUUGAUAGGUCAGUUGACAUAGCUGGAAGUUUCUUAUAUAUAAAAAAAAAAGAUGUGGUAUGAUUGCCAAUGAGACAACUAUCCACAAGAGACCAAAAUGACAAAAAUUUGGUAAUGGUCAAGAUCCCCACCCCUAAACCAUAUAUAUUCAUGUAUGGGACAAUAUAACAAAUCAUAUGAAAUAUAGGUGGAGUUCGUUGGGCCACUCUGACUACCCCUUUCUGUUUGAGAAUUUAUAACGGUCGAGAUCCACAAUCUUAAACAAUAUAUAUUUAUGUAUGGGACAAUAUUACAAAUCAAAUGAAUUAUAAGGGGUCCCUAUGGUCACUGUACACCCUCCUGUUUGAGAACUUGGAAAAAUUCGAGAUCAUCACCCC